rnacentral:rRNA from 1 species
UACGAAGGGGGCUAGCGUUGCUCGAAUCACUGGGCGUAAAGGGUGCGUAGGCGGGUCUUUAAGUCAGGGGUGAAAUCCUGGAGCUCAACUCCAGAACUGCCUUUGAUACUGAAGAUCUUGAGUUCGGGAGAGGUGAGUGGAACUGCGAGUGUAGAGGUGAAAUUCGUAGAUAUUCGCAAGAACACCAGUGGCGAAGGCGGCUCACUGGCCCGAUACUGACGCUGAGGCACGAAAGCGUGGGGAGCAAACAGG